rnacentral:lncRNA from 1 species
GAUCCGCCCCGACGUCGUCCGCUUCGCCCACGCAAAUCUGUCCAAGAACAGCCGCCAGCCCUACGCCGUCUCCAAGCGCGCCGGCCACCAGACCUCUGCCGAGUCCUGGGGAACCGGCCGCGCCGUCUCCCGUAUCCCCCGUGUACCUGGCGGCGGCACUCACCGCGCCGGCCAGGGUGCCUUCGGCAACAUGUGUCGUGGUGGUCGUAUGUUCGCCCCCACCAAGACCUGGCGCCGCUGGCACCGCCGCGUCAACAUCAACAUGCGCCGCUACGCCGUCGCCUCUGCCAUCGCCGCCUCCGCUGUCCCGUCCCUCGUCCUCGCCCGCGGCCACCGGAUCGAAUCAGUCCCCGAGAUCCCCCUCGUGGUCUCCGACUCCGCCGAGGGCGUGGAGAAGACCGCCUCCGCCAUCAAGAUCCUCAAGCAGAUCGGCGCCCUCCCCGACGCCGAGAAGGCCAAGGACACCCAGGGAAUCCGCCCCGGCAAGGGUAAGAUGCGAAACCGCCGCUACAUCUCGCGCAAGGGUCCCCUGAUCGUGUACGGCACCGAAGGUUCCAAGAUCGUCAAAGCAUUCCGUAACAUACCCGGCGUCGAUGUGGCCAAUGUCGAGCGUCUCAACCUUCUGAAGCUAGCCCCAGGAGGCCACAUCGGCAGGUUCAUCAUCUGGACCAAGUCAGC